UCCCUGCUGACUCAAAUGGUAAAGAAUCCACCUGCAAUGUGGGAGACCCGGGUUCAAUCCCUGGGUCAGGAA
rnacentral:tRNA from 1 species